GUGCACAUUCCAUUGACCUGGUUUCUUUUAUAUAUGUGAGCAGUGUUAUUGCUUAUGUUAUAUACAAAUAGUUGAAGGUUAAUUAGCACUGUAACUAAGUAGAAAUGCUGCCAGUCUUCUUCAAAGAAAU